UCCACCGCCACCGCCACCGCCACCGCCAUGCGGAGGCGUUGGCGGCGUCCCACCAUAUGACGGCGCGCCACCGUGCGACGGCGUCGGGCAAUUGGAGGGAGUGCUUGGUGGUGAAUCUGCACCAUAUCAACAACAUUACUAGACAGAGGUACGCAAUUGUUUCAUAGCAACUAAUCAACCAAGAGAGAGGCCCUUUGUGGCCCCACUUUUGAGAUGUGGUUUGGACCAUCACUACAGUAAUAACCCGCUUCGGGUUUGCUUUUUUGCAAUGUGGUGCGACUUGACACCAUGCUUGGAGUUUAUAUAUGCACACCGCAAUGCAGUGUGUUUGUAGUUUGAAAUUCAUUACUGAGCCAAAGAGGCCCUGGGAGAAAGAUAGAGAGAGAGAGAGAAAUAGUACUUACGACUAUGGUGGUGGGGAUCAGGAGGGUAGUAGUUUUUCUGUUCGGUGAAACCCCCUAGUUUCCUAGCCAUUACCGGGGAUACAACUCCAUUAGAAACCAACCCCAGUAAGAGAAAACACAUGAGAAGAGCCAUUCUCUUCUGACCCUCCGCCUCUUUACCUUUAACCCAAACUCAAAACUCACUAGAAACUUGAGAGAGAAAUAGGUGGUACAUAUAUAUAUAGAUACUGAGGGAGUAUAGGUGUUGUGUACUACUCACCACCACCUAUAUACACAAGUAAGAGAUAAGAGAUAAAUUAUAUUGAAUUCACAGCACUGCAACAAAAGACAUAAAUGCAUGCAGAGAAAGACCAAGUAGUUAGUUGAAAACUUGCAGGUGCAUUUAUAAGUUGUAAAUUUUGUGGUACAAACCCAGGAAAAAGUGGGGGACUAUUGUAGAGGGGAGGUAAAGUGAUCUAAUUUGCGUAACCUUAGAUUUGGAAAAGAUUUUUCUUCUUAAAUGAAUGCGAUGUCCUCAUUUAGGCUUCUAUAGGAUACAUGGGGCUGUUUCUAGCAACAAAGAUAUGGUAUGGGUAAGUUUGAGUAUACACAAGUGAAAUGCUUAUUUGGAUAGGUAAUUAAGAUAUGCAAUGAAGGAACUUAUUUUCACUGUUUCAGGAGAAAUUCUUAGUUUCCUAGACCCAGUCCAUGGUCUAGCACUCCUAAUUUUGUUUAAACUGUUGGAUGUGAUCUACAUCACCUGAAAUUUUCAUACCGUAAAAAUUGUAAUUUUGGAAAUCAUACUUAUCAAUUAUCAUUUAACCAACAAGAGCUCUCUUUUUUUCCCUUUCUUUUUGAGAAUUUGGAUUUUGGUCCUUUGCAUGGCAACUGCAACUUAAAUGUAAGAAUCCCUAAUAUCGACCGGGUUUGGCAUCAACAAUAGCUCUUUUAGCUCCAUGAUCUUUAGGACUACUAAAUGUCUCAGCAGUAGGUUUUCAAAGCUUCUGCUUUUUCAUAGCAAGUUGUUUAGAUCUUGUAGAUCACAUCUAAUGGAGACUUGACAUUUUGAUUCUGAAGUCUCUAGGGUCAAAAUUUAUGGACCAGUUUUGGAAUGAUGUGGUGGACUAGGUCCAUGCAAUAUUUUCUUUCUAAUUUCAGGGCUUUUUUUUUUUUCCAUUGUCAGUGCUUCAAUUUAAUGAGGACAGCGAGUCUUCAAAAGAGUGUCAUAAGUAUUUGGACUACAUAUAAUGUGUUCAACUACCUCAUGCCUCCCUGGGCAUUUAGAUAUUGCAUAGUACAGUAACAUUAGUGUCUUAUUAACUACUGUUCACAGUCCCAGGCAAUUGCAUUUAAAGGCUGUAAACUAACUAGGGCAUUCCAUGCUAGUAAAGAGUAGGAUGUGCCAUGCACAAGAAGAGAGAGGUUAAUGAAGAACUUUUUGUGGUUCUUGGCUUUUCAAUUUGACCAGAUGGUGUGUAACUUGUUAGCUUGUACUUGUACAUUAGGUCAUAAUCAUUUGAUUCAUUGGUUUGUUCUCAGUGGUAGUGCAUUUCUCCUCUUUUUCAUGAGUAAGCUGAUAUAUGUGUAUUCUCUUUGUGGGCUAGGCAAGUUGAGUCUCAUUUUGGCUCGAGCGAGAACAUGGUCACAUCUCCUGUCCAUUUUCGGUCGGACGCCCGUGCAUGCUUCUAAGCAGGAUAGAACUAGCAACCUCUCCCUCGCAGAAGAGGCGCCCUACCAACCAGACUAUCAGGUGGUGGUGAUAUAUUUUUGCUUCGUAAGUUGUUAUUGGGGUUUGGUAUAUGUAACCUGGGGGUGCAUUUCACGUGUCUCACCUCAUGCAAUGUGCUCGGCUUGUUCAUAACUGGACCGGGCCCAACGUGGGCCCAGUCGAUGGUGACCUAUUAUUAACGCCAAGUACGGGUGGCGAAGGCCUUGUCCACUUGAUGGUCCCUCAAGGCCCAAAUGAAACUAGGUUCGGAACCGGAUUUGGUCCGUUACCCUCCGACACGAUCGAGGUUGCGACUGAAUUGAAUUCGGCGAGUGACGACCGAAUCCAAUGAUUUUGCUUAUUCUGAGAGUAAGUUAUUUACAUCUCUUUUUUGUGUGUGUGUUUUCGCUUAAACACACGAUACAAAGCCACACAAAUUCGAUUAGUUUCGGACUCAAUGUCCACAGAUAAACCCAAAAACCUAGUAGUUGAACCCAAAUCAAACCAAGGUGCUGUUGGGUGAACCAUCGGAUUUAUGGGUUUUACCUAAAACCCUAACGCGCAUGAUCGUAACUACAAAAACAUGUGUAUUUAAGCCCACGUUGCAUGAGAAAAAAGACUAAGCAUCUCUUUGUCGUUCUAUCCCUGUAUUAAGUUUGCGUGAUUGGGAUUACAAUGUAAGGAAGUCGCGUAUGAUAAAAGUGUUUCGAGUGACCGACCGUUCCUAGCAUAAGUGGAAAAGAGGAUGAAUAGCAUAAGUAGAAAAGAGGUUGAUAAUUGUUAUUCGAAAUUUCAGAUUCAAAGAUCAGUUGUUUUACAUUUUUAGUUAAGUUCAUUAAAUAAAAAAAAAGAAGAAGAAGAACAGGACAGGAGUGUGCUGUUAUUUUCUCUCAAAAAAUAAGAUAAAAUAUAGAGAAUUUACUUGAACUAUAGAUUAUUAUUUUGAAUUAACUAUUUAAUCUUUUUAAAUUUUGAUUUUACUAUCAAAUUUUUCAAUUUGUUUAGUUUGAGUCAGUCGGCGAUACUUUACUUUUAAAUUUUAUAUUACUUAGUUUAAUUAAUUUAUAGUUGUGAGAAUUACAUAUAAUAUACAAACUAAACAUGCAAAGAUAAACGAUGUAUUUAAAUUUUAAAACUAAAAUAUCGUUGACCGAUUCAAAUCAAAUAAGUCAAAAUUAUCUAUAAUUUAGAUGAGUUCUGUACGAUUUUACCAAAAAGCUAAUAAU
rnacentral:lncRNA from 1 species